rnacentral:rRNA from 1 species
AACGAACGCUGGCGGCAUGCCUAACACAUGCAAGUCGAACGAGACCUUCGGGUCUAGUGGCGCACGGGUGCGUAACACGUGGGAAUCUGCCCUUCGGUUCGGAAUAACAGUUAGAAAUGACUGCUAAUACCGGAUAAUGACGUAAGUCCAAAGAUUUAUCGCCGAAGGAUGAGCCCGCGUAGGAUUAGGUAGUUGGUGGGGUAAUGGCCUACCAAGCCGACGAUCCUUAGCUGGUCUGAGAGGAUGAUCAGCCACACUGGGACUGAGACACGGCCCAGACUCCUACGGGAGGCAGCAGUGGGGAAUAUUGGACAAUGGGCGAAAGCCUGAUCCAGCAAUGCCGCGUGAGUGAUGAAGGCCUUAGGGUUGUAAAGCUCUUUUACCCGGGAUGAUAAUGACAGUACCGGGAGAAUAAGCUCCGGCUAACUCCGUGCCAGCAGCCGCAGUAAGAC